rnacentral:rRNA from 1 species
CCUACGGGAGGCAGCAGCAAGGAAUUUUGCGCAAUGGACGAAAGUCUGACGCAGCAACGCCGCGCGGAGGAUGAAGGCUCUCGGGUUGUAAUCUCCUUUUGCAGGGGAAGAUCGUGACGGUACCCUGCGAAUAAGUCUCGGCUAACUACGUGCCAGCAGCCGCGGUAAU